CAGUAGCCACGGGAAAACAGAGGGUGCAAGCGUUAAUCGGAAUUACUGGGCGUAAAGCGCGCGUAGGUGGUUUGUUAAGUUGGAUGUGAAAUCCCCGGGCUCAACCUGGGAACUGCAUCCAAAACUGGCAAGCUAGAGUAUGGUAGAGGGUGGUGGAAUUUCCUGUGUAGCGGUGAAAUGCGUAGAUAUAGGAAGGAACACCAGUGGCGAAGGCGACCACCUGGACUGAUACUGACACUGAGGUGCGAAAGCGUGGGGAGCAAACAGGAUUAGAUACCCCAGUAGUCCCUGUCUCUUAUAA
rnacentral:rRNA from 1 species